rnacentral:rRNA from 1 species
GACGGAGGAUGCAAGCGUUAUCCGGAAUGAUUGGGCGUAAAGCGUCCGCAGGUGGCAGUUCAAGUCUGCUGUCAAAGACCGGGGCUUAACUUCGGAAAGGCAGUGGAAACUGAACAGCUAGAGUAUGGUAGGGGCAGAGGGAAUUCCUGGUGUAGCGGUGAAAUGCGUAGAGAUCAGGAAGAACAUCGGUGGCGAAGGCGGCAUCCUGGACCGGCAUUGACGCUGAUGAGCGAAAGCUAGGGGAGCAAACGGG